GAGGGUAUAUUUCAGUGGCAGAGUGCAUGCCUAGCAUGCACGAGGUCCUGGGUUCAAUCCCCAGUACUCCCA
rnacentral:tRNA from 1 species